rnacentral:rRNA from 1 species
AGUGGCAGACGGGUGAGUAACGCGUGGGAACGUACCUUUCGCUACGGAAUAGCUCCGGGAAACUGGUGGUAAUACCGUAUACGCCCUCAGGGGGAAAGAUUUAUCGGCGAAAGAUCGGCCCGCGUUGGAUUAGCUAGUUGGUGAGGUAAUGGCUCACAAAGGCGACGAUCCAUAGCUGGUCUGAGAGGAUGAUCAGCCACACUGGGACUGAGACACGGCCCAGACUCCUACGGGAGGCAGCAGUGGGGAAUCUUGCACAAUGGGCGAAAGCCUGAUGCAGCCAUGCCGCGUGAAUGAUGAAGGCCUUAGGGUUGUAAAAUUCUUUCGUCAGGGAUGAUAAUGACCGUACCUGAAGAAGAAGCCCCGGCUAACUUCGUGCCAGCAGCCGCGGUAAUACGAAGGGGGCUAGCGUUGUUCGGAAUUACUGGGCGUAAAGCGCACGUAGGCGGACUUUUAAGUCAGGUGUGAAAUCCCGGGGCUCAACCUCGGAACUGCAUUUGAAACUGGAAGUCUUGAGACCAGGAGAGGUUAGCGGAAUACCGAGUGUAGAGGUGAAAUUCGUAGAUAUUCGGUGGAACACCAGUGGCGAAGGCGGCUAACUGGACUGGUACCGACGCUGAGGUGCGAAAGUGUGGGGAGCAAACAGGAUUAGAUACCCUGGUAGUCCACACCGUAAACGAUGAGAGCUAGUUGUUGGCA